rnacentral:rRNA from 1 species
UUAGAGGAAGUAAAAGUCGUAACAAGGUCUCCGUUGGUGAACCAGCGGAGGGAUCAUUACUGAGUUUACGCUCUAUAACCCUUUGUGAACAUACCUAUAACUGUUGCUUCGGCGGGUAGGGUCUCCGCGACCCUCCCGGCCUCCCGCCUCCGGGCGGGUCGGCGCCCGCCGGAGGAUAACCAAACUCUGAUUUAACGACGUUUCUUCUGAGUGGUACAAGCAAAUAAUCAAAACUUUUAACAACGGAUCUCUUGGUUCUGGCAUCGAUGAAGAACGCAGCGAAAUGCGAUAAGUAAUGUGAAUUGCAGAAUUCAGUGAAUCAUCGAAUCUUUGAACGCACAUUGCGCCCGCCAGCAUUCUGGCGGGCAUGCCUGUUCGAGCGUCAUUUCAACCCUCAAGCUCUGCUUGGUGUUGGGGCCCUACAGCUGAUGUAGGCCCUCAAAGGUAGUGGCGGACCCUCCCGGAGCCUCCUUUGCGUAGUAACUUUACGUCUCGCACUGGGAUCCGGAGGGACUCUUGCCGUAAAACCCCCCAAUUUUCCAAAGGUUGACCUCGGAUCAGGUAGGAAUACCCGCUGAACUUAAGCAUAUCAAUAAGCGGAGG